rnacentral:lncRNA from 1 species
AAAAUAUGUAUUUAAUAUAUAUCUAAUUUGUUUUAAUUAAGAUAGCAUGCGUAAACAUGUGAAAAAAAAUAUAAAUUAUAACCUCCUUAAUUAAUUAUAAAGAAACACUUUUUUUCAAGGCAAAGGAAAAUAUAUUAUAAAUAUUAGAGAAACACUAUGGUCAAAAGUACAAAGAAGUCUUGGAGAAAGAUAUAAGAAGUACCAAAAUCUAGGAAAAAAAAAAAAAACAAAAACCUAAGCUAACAUCAACCAAAGAACAACUAUGAUAAAAAAACCAUACCGAGAUAUCCGUCAAAAAACAAGGCUAGACUAACCAAGCAAGAACUUCU